rnacentral:other from 10 species
GGCUUUUAGCGUGAGGAAAGUACCAAACAGCAGCGGAGUUUUAAACUUUAAAUAGACAGGUCUGAGUGCCUGAACUUGCCUUUUCAUUUUACUUCAUCCUCCAAGGAGUUCAAUCACUUGGCGUGACUUCACUACUUUUAAGCAAAAGAGUGGUGCCCAGGCAACAUG